rnacentral:sRNA from 1 species
UUUUAGCCCCGAUAGGAGCUGGCUACCGUGUAGCGCGGAUAGCGGGAGCAGAA